UGUGAUAUCGCUGAUAAUAGUUAUAAUAUAAAUUAUUAUUUAUGAUCCCUAACUUAAUUUUUUCACUUUAAAGUGUUGGGAUAUCGUUAUAAAACUCUUUGUUAAAUAUGUUGGAAAUAGAAAAUCUAUGCUUGUUAAGUUUAGCUACAAAUUGUGAAGAUGGAUGCUUAGAUUGGAACAUCAAUUUACUAGAAGUGUUUAACAAGUAAACAUGUAAUGGACUUCACUUCAUGGAGAAUUUUACAAUAUAUCUGUAAAUUAUAUGAUGGAUAUGUCUGUGAAUUUAUGCCACACUCUACAUCAGCAGUACAUUAAACAGGAGGUUAAGGAAGAAAAUGAUGAUGCAGAAAUAGAACUACAAGAUAUGACACCUUCAAAACAGGAACAGGCUAACAAUAAAUAUAAUAUUGUUAUUAACAUCAACAAUGAGUGCAGUGAUAUUAUGGACUCUAGCCAUUUGGCGAAACAUGAUGAAGAAACAGAAGUUGAAAAUAAACAUCAUUGUUCGUUUUGUGGUGACUUGAUGCAUCGUGUCGUCUGCUGUGAAGGCCUGCGGUAGCAUCGAGAACAAUGGGACAAAGGAAUGCAGUACAGCGACUAGCGACGCGCCGGCAGCCGGCACCCGAAGAGUGCGCCCCGAACCUUCGACGCACGCGCACGUUACCUUUGCUUUCACUAACGCUUCUCGUUUACUCACGUUACCCCUAGUUUAACUACUUCUCAUUUCUUGUUUAGUGUACCUUCUGUUCUAUAUAGUGUUAACUACAUACCUGUAGCAUAUUGUGGUGUUAAGUGUAAAUUAUAUAUGCAUAAACUUAUCUGAAGCUAAUUCGGGCUAAUUAUUUAUAUCAUCUACUGUGUACCAGGACUAAUUCACACAUUUCAACCCCACAAAUUCUUUAAAUGGAAAGGCAAAAAAUAUUUGCUCAUAAUCGUACUGUGCAAAAGAGCUCUCAUCAUUUAUACGAUUUAAAAAACUACUUACUAGAUCUCUUCAAACCAAUUUUCGGUGGAAGAUUGCAUGGUAAUGUUCAUCAAAUAUUUAUUUUUGUUCUAUCAUUCUCUUAUUUUAAAAGUUACAGGACACACACACACUAUUUUCCACUUUGUAAGUGUCUUUCGCGCAAACUAUUUAGUUUAGAAGAUUCAUUUUUGAAGACCUAUCCAUAGAUACCCCACACGUAUUGGUUUCAUGAAAAAAAAAUUUUGAGUUUCAGUUCUAAGUUGAGGAACGCCCAAAAUUUAUUGUUUUUUUUUUUCUAUUUUUGUGUGAAAAUGUUAAUGCGGUUCGCAGAAUACAUCUACUUACCAAACUUUGAACAGUAUAGUUCUUAUAGUUUUGGAAAAAGUGGCUGUGACAUACACGGACAGAUAGACAGACAUGACGAAUCUAUAAAGGUUCCGUUUUUUGCAAUUUGGCUACGAAACCCUAAAAAUAUGGUAAAGAGAGUUGUAGUGGAAAAAUGCCUCAGCAAUUAGAUCCAGGGUCAAUUCACCUAAAAGAUUUGCGUUAAGCUUUCAAGACUUUCGACUAGUUUUCGAAGGCUGCCAAAAUAAUCCAAUGUAUACUUGCCGAGAAAUAGUUCUAGUAUCGAGAAAUGCGAGUCAAAGUGGCGUGGUGUUGGUUACUGUCGAUUUCCGGAACACCACAGGCAAGGGACAACAUAUACUCAGUAGGUAAUAAAGGAAGGGAACAAAAAGUGUGCUGACUGCUGUGUGAAGUUGACCACCAUAUUGAUUCGGUGAAUGAUCAAUCAUAUUAAGAGUGACUGUUUUAAUUCAUCAAGCUCAUCAGACUUUGAAUCAGAGAGCGAAUGUUUGGUAAUAAUCUCAAGUGUUUCAUUAUCAAAUAAAGACCUUCAUUAAUAUUUAAAA